AGAGUUUGAUCCUGGCUCAGGAUGAACGCUGGCGGCGUGCCUAACACAUGCAAGUCGAGCGAGGGUUUGCUCAGUAUUGAGUAUUCUAAGACUAGAAUGUUCAAUUCUGAGCAAAACCAAGCGGCGGACGGGUGAGUAACGCGUGGGUAACCUGCCCUAUACACAUGGAUAACAUACUGAAAAGUUUACUAAUACAUGAUAAUAUAUAUUUGCGGCAUCGCAGAUAUAUCAAAGUGUUAGCGGUAUAGGAUGGACCCGCGUCUGAUUAGCUAGUUGGUGAGAUAACUGCCCACCAAGGCGACGAUCAGUAGCCGACCUGAGAGGGUGAUCGGCCACAUUGGAACUGAGACACGGUCCAAACUCCUACGGGAGGCAGCAGUGGGGAAUAUUGCACAAUGGGCGAAAGCCUGAUGCAGCAACGCCGCGUGAACGAUGAAGGUCUUCGGAUCGUAAAGUUCUGUUGCAGGGGAAGAUAAUGACGGUACCCUGUGAGGAAGCCCCGGCUAACUACGUGCCAGCAGCCGCGGUAAUACGUAGGGGGCUAGCGUUAUCCGGAUUUACUGGGCGUAAAGGGUGCGUAGGUGGUCCUUCAAGUCGGUGGUUAAAGGCUACGGCUCAACCGUAGUAAGCCGCCGAAACUGGAGGACUUGAGUGCAGGAGAGGAAAGUGGAAUUCCCAGUGUAGCGGUGAAAUGCGUAGAUAUUGGGAGGAACACCAGUAGCGAAGGCGGCUUUCUGGACUGCAACUGACACUGAGGCACGAAAGCGUGGGUAGCAAACAGGAUUAGAUACCCUGGUAGUCCACGCUGUAAACGAUGAGUACUAGGUGUCGGGGGUUACCCCCCUCGGUGCCGCAGCUAACGCAUUAAGUACUCCGCCUGGGGAGUACGCACGCAAGUGUGAAACUCAAAGGAAUUGACGGGGACCCGCACAAGUAGCGGAGCAUGUGGUUUAAUUCGAAGCAACGCGAAGAACCUUACCUAAGCUUGACAUCCCUCGGACAGGUGUUUAAUCACACCCUUCCUUCGGGACUGAGGUGACAGGUGGUGCAUGGUUGUCGUCAGCUCGUGUCGUGAGAUGUUGGGUUAA
rnacentral:rRNA from 1 species